rnacentral:rRNA from 1 species
UUGAUCCUGCCAGUAGUCAUAUGCUUGUCUCAAAGAUUAAGCCAUGCAUGUCUCAGUACAAGCCAAAUUAAGGUGAAACCGCGAAAGGCUCAUUAAAUCAGUUAUGGUUCCUUAGAUCGUACCCACAAUUACUUGGAUAACUGUGGUAAUUCUAGAGCUAAUACAUGCAAACAGAGCUCCGACCGGAGACGGAAGGAGUGCUUUUAUUAGAUCAAAACCAAUCGGUGACGGGUUCGCGCUCGUCAUCGUACAACUUGGUGACUCUGAAUAACUUUUCGCUGAUCGCACGGUCAUCGCACCGGCGACGCAUCUUUCAAAUGUCUGCCUUAUCAACUGUCGAUGGUAGGUUCUGCGCCUACCAUGGUUGUAACGGGUAACGGGGAAUCAGGGUUCGAUUCCGGAGAGGGAGCCUGAGAAACGGCUACCACAUCCAAGGAAGGCAGCAGGCGCGCAAAUUACCCACUCCCGGCACGGGGAGGUAGUGACGAAAAAUAACGAUACGGGACUCAUCCGAGGCCCCGUAAUCGGAAUGAGUACACUCUAAACCCUUUAACGAGGAUCAAUUGGAGGGCAAGUCUGGCGCCAGCAGCCGCGGUAAUUCCAGCUCCAAUAGC